UACGUAGGGUGCGAGCGUUGUCCGGAAUUAUUGGGCGUAAAGAGCUUGUAGGCGGUGUGUCACGUCGGCCGUGAAAACCUGGGGCUUAACUCUGGGCGUGCGGUCGAUACGGGCAUCACUAGAGUUCGGCAGGGGAGACUGGAAUUCCUGGUGUAGCGGUGAAAUGCGCAGAUAUCAGGAGGAACACCGGUGGCGAAGGCGGGUCUCUGGGCCGAUACUGACGCUGAGGAGCGAAAGCAUGGGGAGCGAACAGG
rnacentral:rRNA from 1 species